ACAAAUGAUUGUGAGAUCAAUCAUCCUCUGCAUCGAGCAUACAUAAGACAUGCCAGUCUUUCCGGUAAUCAUUGAUCCCCGACUCAAUGUACCAAUGAGUGGGAAUAUUUAAGAUUAGGAUUUUAGGAUUUUAAGUCUCACUAGUAUGAUCUCAUCAUAGUCUUAAAACUAUUGCCCUAAUUUAAGGAGUUUAUCAUAAAUAUAAUCAACAGCAUAUGAUAAAACAUAACGCCUUUAUUCAUAUUUAAAUGUCAUGUACAUGAUUUGGACAAAUCAAAA
rnacentral:lncRNA from 1 species